rnacentral:rRNA from 1 species
GACGAACGCUGGCGGCGUGCUUAACACAUGCAAGUCGAACGGAAAGGCCCUGCUUUUGUGUGGUGCUCGAGUGGCGAACGGGUGAGUAACACGUGAGUAACCUGCCCUUGACUUUGGGAUAACUUCUGGAAACUGGGGCUAAUACCGGAUACGAGCUCCUGCGGCAUGUUGGGGGGUGGAAAGUUUCGGCGGUUGGGGAUGGACUCGCGGCUUAUCAGCUUGUUGGUGGGGUAGUGGCUUACCAAGGCUUUGACGGGUAGCCGGCCUGAGAGGGUGACCGGCCACAUUGGGACUGAGAUACGGCCCAGACUCCUACGGGAGGCAGCAGUGGGGAAUAUUGCACAAUGGGCGGAAGCCUGAUGCAGCAACGCCGCGUGCGGGAUGACGGCCUUCGGGUUGUAAACCGCUUUUGCCUGGGAAGAAGCGAGAGUGACGGUAACUGGUAAAGAAGCACCGGCUAACUACGUG